AUGCAGAGCAAAGCCCAGGGACAGGAGGAUUUGGAUGGAGCACCUGUUGGGACUGGUGGCAAAUCCGUAUUGCUCUUGGCAUCCCUUCCAGAAGGGCUCCAGGCGGCCGUGACCCUGCUGGAGUUCGGGGGGGACCUCCAGCCCCCCGGGGGGGCCCUGCGCCUCCUCUGCCACGCCUCUGGCUUCGAUUUCGGGAGCUACGACAUGGGCUGGGUGCGCCAGAGCCCUGGGCAGGGGCUGGAAUGGAUCGCGAGUAUCAGCAGCAGUGGUGGCAGCACCAACUACGCGCCGUCGGUCAAGGGCCGGUUCACGAUCUCCAGGGACAACGGGCAGAGCUCGGUGACGCUGACCAUGAGCAGCCUCAAGGACGAGGAUUCCGCCGUCUAUUUCUGCGCCAAAUUUUUCCGCAGUGGUUGGGCUGGUGCUGCUGUUUUGACCGUUUCCCCCAAAUCUCGGCCUGCCCCUCGCCCUCGGGCCGUUUGCCCGGAGCCGUCCCCCAAAUCUCAGCCUUUCACCCCAGAUUGCCGCUCCCUCCCCUGGCGGCCAUCGGCCCCAAAAUCCCUCUGGGGCAGCCCCAGAUCUGUGCCCCGGGCACCGAACCCGCGCUGGGGCACCGGAUCCUGA